rnacentral:rRNA from 1 species
AUUGAACGCUAGCGGGAUGCUUUACACAUGCAAGUCGAACGAGUGGCGGACGGGUGCGUAAUAUAUCGGACCGUGCCCAGUAGCGGGGGAUAACUACUCGAAAGAGUGGCUACUACUGCAUACUAUUGUAUCGGCCGAUAGUGGAUUAGCUAGGCGGUGGGGUAAAGGAUCACCAAGGCAACGAUCCGUAGCUGGUGUGAGAGGACGACCAGCCACCCGGGGACUGAGACACGGCCCAGACUCCAACGCGAGGAAGCAGUGGGGAAUUUUGGACAAGGGGGUGAACCCUGAUCCAGCCAACCCGCGUGUAUGAGAAGGCCUUCGGGUUGUAAAGUUCUUUUGGCAGAGAAGCGGUAUCUGCAGAAUAAGCACCGGCUAACUACGUGCCAGCCGCCGCGGUAAUUC